ACGAACGCUGGCGGCACGCUUAACACAUGCAAGUCGAACGAGAGAAGAGGAGCUUGCUUUUCUGAUCUAGUGGCGGACGGGUGAGUAACACGUGAGCAAUCUGCCUUUCAGAGGGGGAUACCGAUUGGAAACGAUCGUUAAUACCGCAUAACAUAAUUGAACCGCAUGAUUUGAUUAUCAAAGAUUUAUCGCUGAAAGAUGAGCUCGCGUCUGAUUAGCUAGUUGGUAAGGUAACGGCUUACCAAGGCGACGAUCAGUAGCCGGACUGAGAGGUUGAUCGGCCACAUUGGGACUGAGACACGGCCCAGACUCCUACGGGAGGCAGCAGUGGGGAAUAUUGCACAAUGGAGGAAACUCUGAUGCAGCGAUGCCGCGUGAGGGAAGAAGAUUUUAGGAUUGUAAACCUCUGUCUUCAGGGACGAAAAAAGACGGUACCUGAGGAGGAAGCUCCGGCUAACUACGUGCCAGCAGCCGCGGUAAUACGUAGGGAGCGAGCGUUGUCCGGAAUUACUGGGUGUAAAGGGAGCGUAGGCGGGAUCGCAAGUCAGAUGUGAAAACUAUGGGCUUAACCCAUAAACUGCAUUUGAAACUGUGGUUCUUGAGUGAAGUAGAGGUAAGCGGAAUUCCUAGUGUAGCGGUGAAAUGCGUAGAUAUUAGGAGUAACAUCAGUGGCGAAGGCGGCUUACUGGGCUUUAACUGACGCUGAGGCUCGAAAGCGUGGGGAGCAAACAGGAUUAGAUACCCUGGUAGUCCACGCCGUAAACGAUGAUUACUAGGUGUGGGGGGACUGACCCCUUCCGUGCCGCAGCAAACGCAAUAAGUAAUCCACCUGGGGAGUACGACCGCAAGGUUGAAACUCAAAGGAAUUGACGGGGGCCCGCACAAGCAGUGGAGUAUGUGGAUUAAUUCGAAGCAACGCGAAGAACCUUACCAGGUCUUGACAUCGUAUGCAUAGCUCAGAGAUGAGUGAAAUCUCUUCGGAGACAUAUAGACAGGUGGUGCAUGGUUGUCGUCAGCUCGUGUCGUGAGAUGUUGGGUUAAGUCCCGCAACGAGCGCAACCCUUACUGUUAGUUGCUACGCAAGAGCACUCUAGCAGGACUGCCGUUGACAAAACGGAGGAAGGUGGGGAUGACGUCAAAUCAUCAUGCCCCUUAUGACCUGGGCCUCACACGUACUACAAUGGCUGUCAACAGAGGGAUGCAAAGCCGCGAGGUGGAGCGAACCCCUAAAAGCAGUCUUAGUUCGGAUUGUAGGCUGCAACCCGCCUACAUGAAGUCGGAAUUGCUAGUAAUCGCAGAUCAGCAUGCUGCGGUGAAUACGUUCCCGGGCCUUGUACACACCGCCCGUCACGCCAUGGGAGUCGGUAACACCCGAAGCCUGUAGUCUAACCGCAAGGAGGACGCAGUCGAAGGUGGGAUUGAUGACUGGGGUG
rnacentral:rRNA from 1 species